ACUGCGUACCUUUUGUAUAAUGGGUCAGCGACUUAUAUUCUGUAGCAAGGUUAACCGUAUAGGGGAGCCGCAGGGAAACCGAGUCUUAACCGGGCGUUAAGUUGCAGGGUAUAGACCCGAAACCCGGUGAUCUAGCCAUGGGCAGGUUGAAGGUUGGGUAACACUAACUGGAGGACCGAACCGACUAAUGUUGAAAAAUUAGCGGAUGACCUGUGGCUGGGGGUGAAAGGCCAAUCAAACCGGGAGAUAGCUGGUUCUCCCCGAAAGCUAUUUAGGUAGCGCCUCGUGAAUUCAUCUCCGGGGGUAGAGCACUGUUUCGGCUAGGGGGCCAUCCCGGCUUACCAACCCGAUGCAAACUGCGAAUACCGGAGAAUGUUAUCACGGGAGACACACGGCGGGUGCUAACGUCCGUCGUGAAGAGGGAAACAACCCAGACCGCCAGCUAAGGUCCCAAAGUCAUGGUUAAGUGGGAAACGAUGUGGGAAGGCCCAGACAGCCAGGAUGUUGGCUUAGAAGCAGCCAUCAUUUAAAGAAAGCGUAAUAGCUCACUGGUCGAGUCGGCCUGCGCGGAAGAUGUAACGGGGCUAAACCAUGCACCGAAGCUGCGGCAGCGACACUAUGUGUUGUUGGGUAGGGGAGCGUUCUGUAAGCCUGUGAAGGUGGCCUGUGAGGGUUGCUGGAGGUAUCAGAAGUGCGAAUGCUGACAUAAGUAACGAUAAAGCGGGUGAAAAGCCCGCUCGCCGGAAGACCAAGGGUUCCUGUCCAACGUUAAUCGGGGCAGGGUGAGUCGACCCCUAAGGCGAGGCCGAAAGGCGUAGUCGAUGGGAAACGGGUUAAUAUUCCCGUACUUGGUGUUACUGCGAAGGGGGGACGGAGAAGGCUAUGUUGGCCGGGCGACGGUUGUCCCGGUUUAAGCGUGUAGGCUGGUUUUCCAGGCAAAUCCGGAAAAUCAAGGCUGAGGCGUGAUGACGAGGCACUACGGUGCUGAAGCAACAAAUGCCCUGCUUCCAGGAAAAGCCUCUAAGCAUCAGGUAACACGAAAUCGUACCCCAAACCGACACAGGUGGUCAGGUAGAGAAUACCAAGGCGCUUGAGAGAACUCGGGUGAAGGAACUAGGCAAAAUGGUGCCGUAACUUCGGGAGAAGGCACGCUGACA
rnacentral:rRNA from 1 species